AGUCACUGACAUUAGAUACCCCUGUAGUCCAGGGUGUAAACGCUGCAGACUUGGUGUUGGAAAUCCUUCGAGGGUAUUCAGUGCCGGAGAGAAGUUGUUAAGUCUGCUACUUGGGAGUACGUCCGCAAGGAUGAAACUUAAAGGAAUUGGCGGGGAGCACCGCAACGGGAGGAGCGUGCGGUUUAAUUGGAUUCAACACCGGAAAACUCACCAGGGGAGACUGUUACAUGAAACCCAGACUAAUGAUCUUGGUUGAUUUUCAG
rnacentral:rRNA from 1 species